CAAUGGCAGGGUCAUCUGCCUGUGACACCUGCAUCAUCACCUGUAUCAUUGCCAGGUAUCAAUGUAUCAUUGACUCAUCUGGCUGGCUAUUCAGGUGUCCUCUUACCCCCCCUUUCAUGUGAGUUCUUCCCAAAUCUGAGCUGUGCUCAGUCUAAGAGGGUGGUGAUCUUGCCCAGAGGGCCAAGAGUAUAUAAGGAAAUGUUCCCUGCUAGACUCUCCAAACAAACUUUUGUGAUUAACUGCUAGGAAAAUACAGGGUUUUAUCUCUAAACCAUUAGAGUGUAAAACAAGAACAAGAAUAAAAGCAUGUCUGU
ensembl:misc_RNA 7SK 7SK RNA